rnacentral:rRNA from 1 species
UGCACGGCUGUCGUCAGCUCGUGUCGUGAGAUGUUGGGUUAAGUCCCGCAACGAGCGCAACCCUCGUCCUUAGUUGCCAGCAGGUUAAGCUGGGCACUCUAGGGAGACUGCCUACGCAAGUAGGAGGAAGGUGAGGACGACGUCAAGUCAUCAUGGCCCUUAUGGCUAGGGCUACACACGUGCUACAAUGGGACGUACAGAGAGUUGCAAUACCGCGAGGUGGAGCCAAUCUCAUAAAGCGUCUCUCAGUUCGGAUUGAAGUCUGCAACUCGACUUCAUGAAGCUGGAAUCACUAGUAAUCGUAGAUCAGCAUUGCUACGGUGAAUACGUUCCCGGGUCUUGUACUCACCGCCCGUCACACCAUGGGAGUUGAUUUCACCCGAAAUUGGGAAGCUAACCUUCGGGAGGCUACCACUUACGGUGGAAUUAGCGACUGGGGUGAAGUCGUAACAAGGUAACCUUAAUUAAAAA